UUUUUUCAAUACAUUAUUUUAUUACAAUGUUCCCUCUCCACUUUACGUUUCAUUUACUUUACGGUCUUGGAUAUGAAUUUUAAAAUUGAACAUUUUUAGAAACAUGUAUUAUAGCAUCUAUUUGACAUUACCCGCGGUAUAUUCAGUAGUGACUCUGCUUUGACCGCAUGACAUCGUACACGGCACACUGAUGAAAGACCAACAAAGCACUGUGUUCUCUGUCCAAGCAGCUGAUUGUGUUGUCUAAACAUUCUAUGUGCUCACGAGCUCAAACGUACUAUGAACGCAGCAGACUCCGCGGGGAAAGUCCGCAGUCAUCAGAGCUGCCAUAAUCAGUCAUUGUAAUUACCUGUGAAAUUUCAGUCAAAAACAGCAAUGUUGUUUACAUUUGUCUGUCUUGGUGCCUUCCACUGACGUCGAGGAAGCGGAGCUGUUGUACUUGAUAGCUUUGCGAAUAAGUAAAAUACGAGAAGCACAGUGGGUGGCUGUAGCUCCGAGUACUGGCUAUCGGCUGCUUCGAGCAAGGUGUUGCAGCCACUUAUUGACUGGACACAUCAGCUGUGUCUGAAAUUUUCUCAAAUGUUCUGUGUCAUGUAAGUUCCAGUAUGUUUGGGCGUAAGGUCUUCUGGCGCAGAACUUGAUACCCAGAGGGAGCUGCUUACCAUUGUGUAAAAGGAGGAAAAUAAUAUAAAGAUGAUGGCAACAGUGUCUUUAAAAAGACUGCGCCAACAACUCUCCAAGACUUUGUCCGUAAUGCGAAAGAAGACACAAGUGACGCUGCCACUAUCGUCAUUAUUUAGUGUAAGUACCAAUUUAUUAUAUGCUACAGUUGUAUUACUAUAACAAGUGUUUGAGUGUGUGUGAAAGGUUAUUAACCACAUGUUGAUUAAAUUACAUACAAUAUUCAUAUAAAUCAUAAAUCAAAUAUCGUCUACUACAACAUGGAAAUUCACUUAUUACAGGGUCUGCCAAACUCCGGCGAUAAUCUGGGGACACUGUAUUGGUAUUUAAU